rnacentral:misc_RNA from 1 species
AACUGAUACUACCUGCGGGAACCUGCGGAGGGAUCAUUACUGAGUGAGGGCCCUCUGGGUCCAACCUCCCACCCGUGUUUAACGAACCUUGUUGCUUCGGCGGGCCCGCCUCACGGCCGCCGGGGGGCAUCCGCCCCCGGGCCCGCGCCCGCCGAAGACACCUGUGAACUCUGUCUGAAGUUGCAGUCUGAGAAACUAUUUAAAUUAGUUAAAACUUUCAACAACGGAUCUCUAGAUCGG